CUUCUUCACUGUUUCUCUACAGAAACUGGAACUCCUCUCUCUCUCUGGUUCGUUCAUUUCUGUACACAGCAGCAACUCUCUUCUCUCAAUUUCCAGGAACAGAAAAUAGAAGUCUCCCCCUCACUCUCCUUCGGUCCACCGAGAAAAGAAGAAAAUAGGUGAAAGCUCGACCUUGAUGCUAAUGGCUAGUCCAGAUGAUACUGUAGACCAAAGUCUUUUCUUUAUGGAUGUCAUAGACCCUACCCCUAAGAGCAAUAGAUCGAUAAAGAUCGGUCUAACUUUUGUAUUGUACAUAUUUAUUUUGAAUUCCUAGAAAUGAGAUGUAAUAAUUAAAGAACUACUAUGUAUAUAUUCUUAUAAUGAAAUAUAGCCAUGUGCUAUUCCUGGGAAAA